AGCGAACGCUGGCGGCAGGCCUAACACAUGCAAGUCGAACGAACCUUUCGGGGUUAGUGGCGGACGGGUGAGUAACACGUGGGAACGUGCCUUUAGGUUCGGAAUAACUCAGGGAAACUUGUGCUAAUACCGAAUGUGCCCUUCGGGGGAAAGAUUAAUCGCCUUUAGAGCGGCCCGCGUCUGAUUAGCUAGUUGGUUGAGGUAAUGGCUCACCAAGGCGACGAUCAGUAGCUGGUCUGAGAGGAUGAUCAGCCACAUUGGGACUGAGACACGGCCCAAACUCCUACGGGAAGGAGCAGUGGGGAAUCUUGCGCAAUGGGCGAAAGCCUGACGCAGCCAUGCCGCGUGAAUGAUGAAGGUCUUAGGAUUGUAAAAUUCUUUCACCGGGGACGAUAAUGACGGUACCCGGAGAAGAAGCCCCGGCUAACUUCGUG
rnacentral:rRNA from 1 species